rnacentral:rRNA from 1 species
AUUGAACGCUGGCGGCAGGCCUAACACAUGCAAGUCGAACGAGUGGCGGACGGGUGAGUAAUGUCUGGGAAACUGCCUGAUGGAGGGGGAUAACUACUGGAAACGGUAGCUAAUACCGCAUACCAUCAGAUGUGCCCAGAUGGGAUUAGCUAGUUGGUGGGGUAACGGCUCACCAAGGCGACGAUCCCUAGCUGGUCUGAGAGGAUGACCAGCCCACACGGAAACGAGACACGGGUCAGAACCCCACGGGGGGGAGGAGGGGGGAAUAUUGCAAAAUGGGGGGAAGGCCUAUGCCGGCCAGGCGGGGUGAUUGAGGAGGCCCUCGGGGUUGAAAGUACUUUCAGCGGGGAGGCGUUACCCGCAGAAGAAGCACCGGCUAACUCCGUGCCAGCAGCCGCGGUAAUAC